GCCGCGGUAGCUCAGCUCGGUAGAGCACUCGGCUGAAGACCGAGGUGUCGGUGGUUCAAAUCCGCCCCGCGGCA
rnacentral:tRNA from 1 species